rnacentral:lncRNA from 1 species
CCUCUGUUACACUAACUGACCCAGAACUUCCAGUCGUUAACAAAACAGACCCAAGUCCUUAACUUUAAACCAUCCAAAAGUUGAGAACUACCUAAGCAAGACUUAAGAAGAUGCGAUUCCCCACAAAUACUUACGUCAGAAAUUGUAGCUAUGGUCACUAAACUUCUCUAUUAUUUUGGGAGGGUCACUUGUCUUCUCCGACGAGGCUGCAAGCCGCUGGCGAGACAAAAUCCACAAUCUGGAAACCUCCGAUGAGCUCCCACCUCCUUGCAACAAGAGAUAACCGCCGAUUCGCCCCGCUUCAGUCCGCUGCCAUUGAUGGGUGGGCCGUAAUCCUCCUUCUCGAGCGCUGCCUCUACUUCCGAUAUACAUAAAUUGAAGUCACCACCUUACAGUUGCUACUCUCCCCUUCCGCGCACCAGCAAUGCCACAAGCCCCAGCCACCGCCCAGGCCGCGGAUCUCCACUCCGUCUCUUCUCCUCUCCCAAAACAACCACCGUCACCCUCUCGACUCCAGCAUCGUUGGAGGUUGCCGCCGCCAUCCUCUAUCUUCCUCUCCUU